ACUAGGGGGCGCGCCGGCCUCACAGCAGGGCUGACUGUGGGUGGGGCUUGGGAUGGGCGUGUCCGUGGGCGGGGCGAAUGCCUGGAAGCUCCGCCCAGGUCCUUCUGUUCUUUGCAGCUCCUUAGCUCCAGUUUUUGCCUCUGAGGACCACCCAGCCCACCUGCUGCUUUCCAGAGCUGAGGGAGACCUGUAGAGUCCCAAGUUGUCUACUAGAACACCCAGCCUGUGACCCCCACCAUGCUUCACCAAUAUUAGACUGAAGGCCCGGAGAGUAAAAGAAACCUAAGCAAACAAGAAAGGCCAACCAAGAUCCACUGUAUGAUAUGAAUGAAAUAACAUGAACAGUGUGAUUCCAGUUGUCAUCCGUAUUAGGAGGCGAUCGCCAGAGCUGUCAGCAAGAGGUUUAUGGGAACUGAUGGGAGAGCUCAGCUAUCUAUUACCGUACUUAGAAUUUUCUGGGAAAGACAUGUCGGCACCAUGUCCAGAUAAUCUGUCUCCACUCCAGCAUGUGCAUUGCUGCCUGGCUGUCAUUGGCUCCUAAGUACAAAUGAUCAUUUCCUUCUGACUAUUUACGUUUUGAAAAGUGCCCAAUUUAAGAGGACCAGCAAGGACACCUUCAGAAAGAAAUCUCACCAGAACUAAGCUGAGAGGACAGGAAAGAGAUGGGAAAGACUUGGGGAAAGACGAUGAAUUGGAGGUCAACAGGCUCUGCCCUGGGAUACACCACGCAUUUAUGGAUCAGGAAUGGCUCAGACGAAGAAAUCACUGAACUUAAAAUUCCUGUAGUCUUAACAGCACACAACUGGUUUUCUCUCACUUGUUCUGGCCUGGAGAUGUCUGUAUCUAGAGCCAGACUUGUUUUUGUGGCUCUGCUCUAGCUUGAUUCCCAGUUUUGUGUGGGCCCAAAUGUCCUGAGGUAUUCCAACCACCGUAUCCACAUGAGAAGUCCAUGAAUGCCCCAGUUGAAAGGGAAUCUGAACGAUGCCACUUUUGUUUUAUAAUCAGGGAGACCAUGCACUCAGCUAAUUAGUGAUGAAGAAAUGAAGUGUCAUUGUUCUUAUCAUAGAGAAGGGGCAAUGUAUGGGGAGGCAACUGACUGUCUCUGCCACAUCAAGUCCAAUGUUGGUCAUGGGGUCAGCAAUUCCUUAGACUCAGCACUCCCUCUCCCCUUCACCCCCACCACCCAGGGCCCUAUCUCACUGGCCUGCCUAGGUUUUCUCACAUUUACCACUACCUGAAGUCACUUUGUUUAUUUGUGACUUAUGGCUUUCUCCUGCUGAUGGGAGAUGUCAUUCUGUAAAUCUAUCUUAUUGGUUGUUGAAUAAAGCACUGUCGGCCAAUA